rnacentral:tRNA from 1 species
GCCCGCGUAGCUCAGUUGGAUAGAGCACGGCUUUCCUAAAGCCAAGGUCGCAGGUUCGAAUCCUGCCGUGGGCA